ACGCGCCUCCCCGGUGCGGAGCCCUCAAGGCGACAUCCGGCGGAAGCGGCGCGGCCCCCGCUCCGGGCCGCGAUGGCGACGGGCAGGGGCUGGGGGAGCCUCCCGGGAUAGGGAAUGGCACUGGGCCCGGGAGAGCCACCCGCUGGGGGAGCAGCCCGCGGGAUCGGGAAUGGCAGCGGGCAGGAGCUGCCCCGCCGCCGCCCCGCGGCUCAUCCCCGCUGACCCAGAUUAUCUAGCUGCCUCAGAAGAGGUCUGUGAAAAGGCCAGAAGAACAUGUGCCUCAGUGAGGGCUGGAAAUAUUAAAUUUUCUUUUCAUGUGCUUCCCAGCUACAAGUCUGCCAGCAGUUCUUUUUUGUCUUCUUUUUCCUUUCUGUCCACUUCUGUGCAGUCAUGUCUUAAUUAAAGCUGUAUUAAA